UACGUAGGGGGCUAGCGUUGUCCGGAAUCAUUGGGCGUAAAGAGCGCGUAGGCGGCCCGGUAAGUCCGCUGUAAAAGUCAAAGGCUCAACCUUUGAAUGUCAGUGGAUACUGCCGGGCUAGAGUCCGGAAGAGGCGAGUGGAACUCCUGGUGUAGCGGUGGAAUGCGCAGAUAUCAGGAAGAACACCAACGGCGAAGGCAGCUCGCUGGGACGGUACUGACGCUGAGACGCGAAAGCGUGGGGAGCGAACAGG
rnacentral:rRNA from 1 species